rnacentral:rRNA from 1 species
AGUCGAGCGGUAACAGGUGUAGCAAUACAUGCUGACGAGCGGCGAACGGGUGAGUAAUGCUUCGGAAUCUGCCCAAUGGUGGGGAAUAACCAGCCGAAAGGUUGGCUAAUACCGCAUAAGUCCUACGGGGGAAAGCAGGGGAUCGUAAGACCUUGCGCCGAUGGAUGAGCCGAAGUCGGAUUAGCUAGUUGGUAGGGUAACGGCCUACCAAGGCGACGAUCCGUAGCUGGUCUGAGAGGACGACCAGCCACACUGGGACUGAGACACGGCCCAGACUCCUACGGGAGGCAGCAGUGGGGAAUAUUGGACAAUGGGGGAAACCCUGAUCCAGCGACGCCGCGUGUGUGAAGAAGGCCUGCGGGUUGUAAAGCACUUUUAGUGGGGAUGAAAAGCUCAGGGCUAACACCUCUGGGUCUUGACCUAACCCACAGAAAAAGCACCGGCUAACUCUGUGCCAGCAGCCGCGGUAAUACAGAGGGUGCAAGCGUUAAUCGGAAUUACUGGGCGUAAAGCGUGCGUAGACGGUUACGUAAGUCGGGUGUGAAAGCCCCGGGCUCAACCUGGGAAUUGCAUUCGAGACUGCAUAGCUAGGGUGCGGAAGAGGGAAGCGGAAUUUCCGGUGUAGCGGUGAAAUGCGUAGAUAUCGGAAGGAACA